rnacentral:rRNA from 1 species
UGGAGGCAGCAGUGGGGAAUUUUGCUCAAUGGGCGAAAGCCUGAAGCAGCAACGCCGCGUGAGGGAUGAAGGCCUUCGGGUUGUAAACCUCUUUUCUCAGGGACGAUAAUGACGGUACCUGAGGAAUAAGCCACGGCUAACUACGUGCCAGCAGCCGCGGUAAUACGUAGGUGGCAAGCGUUGUCCGGAUUUACUGGGCGUAAAGAGCGCGCAGGCGGUCGUGCAAGUCGCGUGUGAAAGCCCCCGGCUCAACUGGGGAGGACCCCAUGAACCACAUCGACUCGAAGGCAGGAGAGGGUAGUGGAAUUCCCGGUGUAGUGGUGAAAUGCGUAGAUAUCGGGAGGAACACCAGUGGCGAAGGCGACUACCUGGCCUGUUCUUGACGCUGAGGCGCGAAAGCUAGGGGAGCAAACGGGAUUAGAUACCCGGGUAC